UCUGCAACCCGACUCCGUGAAGCUGGAUUCGCUAGUAAUCGCGCAUCAGCCAUGGCGCGGUGAAUACGUUCCCGGGCCUUGUACACACCGCCCGUCAAGCCAUGGAAGCCGGGGGCGCUUGAAGUGCGUUGCCGCAAGGCGCGCCCUAGAGCGAAACCGGUGACUGGGGCUAAGUCGUAACAAGGUAUC
rnacentral:rRNA from 1 species